rnacentral:rRNA from 1 species
GACAGAGGGUGCAAACGUUGUUCGGAAUUACUGGGCGUAAAGCGCGUGUAGGCUGCCUUGCAAGUCGGGUGUGAAAGCCCUGGGCUCAACCUAGGAAGUGCACUCGAAACUGCAAGGCUGGAGUCCUGGAGAGGAAGGCGGAAUUCUCGGUGUAGAGGUGAAAUUCGUAGAUAUCGAGAGGAACACCGGUGGCGAAGGCGGCCUUCUGGACAGUGACUGACGCUGAGACGCGAAAGCGUGGGGAGCAACAGG